UCAGCCGCAGACAUUAGAGCUAGGAAGAUGGCGCACCCGGCAAUGUUUCCUAGAAGGGGCAGCAGCAGUAGCAGCGGCAGCAGCUGCGUUACUGCUCCCACUGCACCAGGUACCGGCGUUGGAAGCGCUGCCCUCGCUGCCGAGGAUUAUCAGCCGCCUUUGCUGGUCCAGCCGCCACCUCCAUCUCCUGCAGCAUCUUCAUCCGCGGGUCCACAGCCGACACCCCCUCCUCCACAAAGCCUGAACCUCCUCUCGCAGUCUCAGCUCCAGCCACAACCUCUUGCACAGACUGGAGCUCAAAUGAAAAAGAAAAGUGGCUUCCAAAUUACCAGUGUGACCCCUGCUCAAAUAUCUGCUAGUAUGAGCUCUAAUAACAGCAUAGCUGAGGAUACAGAAAGCUACGAUGACCUGGAUGAGUCUCAUACCGAAGACCUAUCUUCUUCGGAAAUCUUGGAUGUUUCUUUAUCCAGGGCCACCGACUUGGGAGAACCUGAGAGGAGCUCCUCUGAAGAGACUUUAAAUAACUUCCAAGAGGCAGAGACUCCUGGGGCUGUUUCUCCAAACCAGCCUCAUCUUCCUCAGCAGCAUGCUCUUCUGCCUCAUCACCCACAGCAGGGUGUUGUGAUCAAUGGAAGCGUUCACCCCCAUCAUGUUCAUCACCACCACCAUCUUCACCACCACCACCAUGGACAUCAUCAUGCAUCGCAUCCUGGGGUGGGCAGUGCCCCAAUUUCUGGAGGACCUCCGCCCAGCCCGUCGUUCAGAAAACUGUCAACAACUGGAAGCUCUGACAACGUUAUAUCAAAUGCACCAGUUUCUGCUGCAUCAUCCACUGGUUCUCCGGCAUCUGUUGUGUCUAAUAUCCGCACUACAAGUACUCCUGGCAAUUUAGGUGUAAGUCCUGCUACUGGAACUAGUACCUUAAAUAAUAUGGGUGGUGGUAGUUCCAGUGUGGCAAGCAACGUGCUUGGUACUAUAAAUUUAAGCAACAUCACGAGUACUGGUAAUAUAAAUGCUUUGUCUGGAACUAGCAGCAAUGUUAAUGUGAAUAUCUUGAGUGGUGUUGGCAAUGGUACGAGUGCUUCCUCUAGUGUCAUUAACAAUGUUACUAAUCCAACUGCAGGAGGGGCAGUGGGAUCAAGCCAGCAGCAGCCCUCAUCUGGCACCUCAAGGUUUAGGGUUGUAAAAUUAGAUUCUAGUUCUGAACCUUUCAAAAAAGGUAGAUGGACAUGCACUGAGUUCUAUGAUAAAGAAAACACUGUUGCAGCGUCAGAAGGAGUAGCAGUAAACAAAGCAGUAGAGACGAUAAAACAAAACCCGCUUGAAGUGACUUCUGAAAGGGAGAGCACCAGUGGGAGUUCUGUUAGCAGCAAUGUAAGCACACUGAGUCACUAUACAGAAAGUGUGGGAAGUGGAGAAAUGGGAGCACCUACUGUGGUACAGCAGCAAGCAUUUCAAGGUGUGGGUCCGCAGCAGAUGGAUUUUAGCAGCGCUGCUCCUCCGGCAAUUCCAGCAUCUAGUAUACCACAGAGUGUUUCUCAAUCACAGCUUGCACAAGUCCCGCUGCAUUCUCAAGAGGUAAACUACACACAGCAGAAGCCAGGGGUCCAACCUCCUGCACAGGCCAGUCUAACCACUGUUACUGGGGUUCAGCCAGCCCCAGUUAAUAUACUAGGUGUAUCCCCGUCUCUGGGCCACCAGCAACCUGCCAUUCAAACUAUGGCUCAACAGCAGCUCCCGUAUUCUCAGCCAGCGCAGCCUGUGCAAGCUUUGCCAGUCGUACAGCAGCAGCAGUUGCAGUAUGGACAACAGCAGCAACAGCAGCAGCAGACGGUUCCUACGCAGAUGGCUGCAGCUCAUGUUAAGCCGGUGAACCAAAACUCCGUUACAGGGGCUAUGCCAGACUACAUUCAGCAUCAGCAGAUCCUUCAGACUCCAGCCCCGGCUAUGCAGCCUAGUUCUGCAGGAGUAGGAGCAGGGCAACCAGUUCCUGUUGCCCAGACGCAGAGCAUGCAGCCUUCAGUACAAGCACAUCCAGCGGCUGCCCCAGCUCAGCCUGUUGCACAUGCUCCAACAGCAAUACCAGGUGUAGGUACCAGUGGUCAAAUGUUGAAUGUCGGGCAACAAGGAAGCGUAGCCACUGUGGUGCAACCACCAUCUGCUGCAAACCAAAUUCCACCUCCAGUUAUGCCGUCAACGGCUGCUCCUCCAUCUUCACAAGUGGUGCAGCCUGUGCAGACAGGAAUAAUGCAGCAGGGAUUACAGGGUAAUGCUUCAGGCCUUCCUCAGCAAGUGGUCAUUGCUCAGCAAAGCAACUUGUUACCUGUACAGCCACAGGCACAGGGAGUGGAAUCUGUAGUCCAAGGGAUGACUGGCCAGCAGCUGUCUGCGGUUAGCCCUAUACCUUCUACUAGUACUGUUCCUGCACCAAGUCAGGCUGGUUCUGCUGUGCCUCCUGGCAUACCUUCUGCUUCUAUAGGUUUGGGACAGCCACAGAAUAUAGCGCAAGCCUCAGCUGUGCAGAAUGGAAAUUUGGCUCAAGGUGUUAGUCAGCCUCCCUUGAUAUCAACAAGUGUAGGUAUGCCAGUGGCACAGAGUGUGCCCCAGCAGAUCCCGCUAAGCUCUACCCAGUUCCCCGCACAAUCACUAGCUCAGUCAAUUGUAAGCCAAAUUGAAGAUGGCAGACGCCCUACAGAACCUUCUUUAGUGGGCUUACCUCAGGCUGCCAGUGGCGAGAGCGGUGUUGGAGCAUCAGCCGUUUCAGAUGGCAGUAGCAGCAACGUGCCGUCCUCUGCUUCCCUCUUUCCGCUGAAGGUGCUGCCGUUGACAACGCCACUCGUAGAUGGUGAGGAUGAGAGAUACAGAAUGGCAGUCAAACACUGCACACUGGUAUGCCUGUGAAGAGGCACUGCCAAAGUUAAUUGUGUCUAGUGCAAAAGCGGGAGUUCUGACUGAUCAAAGCAGCUUCCAGGUCCUGCAAGAACUGUCUGAAAGACCUUGACCAGAGAAGUGUAGGAAUUGUGUGAAGAUUGAGAACGCAGUAAGAAAAAUGAUGCUUUAAAAAAAAAGUCUUAUGCACUCUGCCCAGAAGCAUAGAAUUUCCCUAAGGCUGAAUGAAGUCUUUCUGCCUCCCUAUCCUGGAAGUAUGGAGUCCCUGCCUCAGCCUACGGCUUCAUUCUUUUUCCAGCUGCCCACAAAAGUAAAGAACCAAUGUGAGAGUUUGAAGAAAGAAUCCGCUCAGAGGACUGAGUCUCAAGCAAAAGCUCCAGGUUGCAGACUCAGAAAGAAACUUCCUUUGGGGAAGGAUCUGCUUCCAGGAUUUGCUCGUCUCUUUUUUCCUUGGGCAAACAGAAUUCUUGAAGCAAACAACAGGGUUGCAGGACACCUUCUAACCUUUAUACUGCAUCACAAGCCUUCAGCAGAAGAUCUUGAGAGCCAUUUAUGUUGCUGGAAGAUGACUGGUUUUGGAUCUUGGCCUUCCUUAAGCAGGAUCUCCUGACAAAAGUGGGAUUGGGAAAGAAAUGACUCCUUUUUCCAUCACACAGAGCCACCCUAGAAAUGGAGGCCUAGGCAGAAAAUUACUUCUAAUGCAUCAUUCUUUAGGAAAUUGGUUUGGCCUCAUAUGGUCCUUUUGCUACAUUGUCAUAAAGAUGUCUUUUAUAAAACCUAAACCUGGCAUCUUCCUAUCUGACCGUGAAUUCAGUAAACCCAACUUUAAGGGUUUACAGGUCUAAUAGUGUGAUCAGAUCUUGCUGUCCCCUGCAUAGGAGAUGCCAUGUGAAACAGGAUUAUGCUGUGGUUCAGACUGUUACAUUCUAAAACCUUUUCUACUUACAGUCCGUUUAAAUUAUUAGAAAUAAUAAUAAAGCUUCUUGUGAAAAUGGUAUCUCAUUAGGCUUCUACCUCACCAAGUUUAAUUGAAAAUAAAUUUGAGCCGAAAAGGUCAUAAUAGUAAUAUGAGAAGUACUGCAUCUUUUGAGGUUUCCUGUGGUUUUGGGUCGAGAAGGUAUGUUGGAAGUGUUGAGAGCUAUGAAAGUGGAAGAACUUAAGAUUUUUUUUUUUUCUUUAAGAGUGAAAAGUUGUUUGUUAGAAAGCAGAAAGCUUUCAAUUAUUUUCAGCCUAAGGGAUUCUUAAUUAAGCGUCUUGUGAGAUCUCAAAUAGAAGCCUUAUGUUUGGCAGGAGUGAACAACACACACGCAUGCCCGUGUGCUUUUGUUCUUCUCUGUAGGAAAUAGUUUUGAAGAACAGGAUUUACUUUUAAUGUUCAGAUUAGGAAAGGGGAAAACUUUGUUCUGCAACUGCUUGUGAGAAGGGGUGGCAGGAGGGUGAACUGUACCCUCUGGCAGUGGGUAAAGAGCACUUUUAUUUUCCUGUUUUCUCCUUCUGGCAGUUGGAGUAAACUAGUCAGAUGCUUGUGCUUGGAUCCAAUUAAUUUCUUAAAUCAGUUACCACAAAACAUUGUUUUUUAAUGCCUAGAUCUUUCAUUAAAUUCACCAGCAUAUUUAAAUUGUUGAACGGUCUAAAUGUAGCCCUGAGGCCACUGCUUCAUGGCAGUUGUGACUUCUUACUGUGCUGGAAUGUAUUGCAGUCUCAGUACAUUCUAAAAAUAAUUGUUCAGAUGGUGCUGUUUUAAGUACAUACUUAUGUAGUGAGCCAUUUUCACCGGACUUUCAGACAUUUAGCUCUCUGGAUGGCUUUUUAAUAUCCUUUUGCUGUGAAUAUCAAACUUCUUUGUCUUACUGCUUCUGUGGUUAUCGAGUAAAAUGCUAAAUUUAUUACUUGAUAUUUUUAGAAAACUGAUAAUCAGAUGCAUGUGUUAAAUUCUGCAACCACAGUGAACUUGUGAACUUUGAAAUUUAAAGGUACAUCAGUUUAAUGUAUAAAUUCAGUCCUUUUUUUUAAUAUGUGGAAAUAUGUGUAUGAUGACCUUAAAACUGAGUACUCGUUCUAGGUGUAGACCUGAAUUGUGUGCUCAACAGGAAUAACCUAGAAGGUCUGUGACUCUCAGAUGUAAAUACUAACAUCUGUGGACACAGAUCUGUGCUAGCAGUGCUUUUAGUUGAAAAUACCAUUUUUGUUUUUCCAAACUCCUAGUUUGUUGGAGGUUUGAUAUCUUUUGUGCCUUCCUUAAUACGUAUACUUGCCUCAGACACAGUUUUUGGUCGUUCUGUAGUGUAAGGUAAAUUUUAGACCGUCGAAUGCUUAUGAACAUUGAAUACUUCUAGGAAAAUAACAGGGGUACCGAUAACUAUUGCUAAUAUUAUAGUCUCAGUUGCUAAAAUUACUUUAUUCCCUUCUCCAAGUCACAGUUAGAACAUUCUCCCCCCCAAAAAACCCCAAACCAAAAAACCUAACAAAACCCCCUAUUGUUAUUCUGCAGUCAGUUGUAUUACUUCUGGUCUAUCAGCAUUGUGUUAGCAUAUUACUAUCAUGCUCUGAGUUUUGCAGCUGGAAUCCUGGGUUCUUGAUACAUUUUUAGAGGAAUAACUCCUGCCUUUGUGUUAUUAAACA